rfam:Kosmotoga pacifica strain SLHLJ1, complete genome.
GGGGGCGAAACGGUCUCGACGGGGUCAGUGAACCCGUGGGAGCGAGUCGGGGUUUCCGGAACCACGUCAAAAAACCGGAACAAAAAAAGUGCCAACACUGAAUUUGCUCUCGCUGCUUAAUUAGAUAAAGCAGCCGUCCCUGCGGAAGACUGAUCCGGAAUUCCGCAGAAGGGCGUCAUAACUCCGGAUCUUACCCGGAACGCAGCCCCGACGUUUCGGGGACAUUUCAGGGGCUUGGAAAGGUACACUCUGUCCGCGUAGUGGACCUUUCGACAUCGAACGCGGACUGCGCUCGGAGAGCUCACGGGGGAUCUGACUUCGGACGCGGGUUCGACUCCCGCCGCCUCCACCA